CGGACGGGUGAGUAACGCGUAGGAACCUAUCGCACAGUGGGGGAUAACACGGGGAAACCGGUGCUAAUACCGCAUGUGGUCAGCGAUGACGAAAGCAGCAAUGCGCUGUGUGCGGGGCCUGCGUCCGAUUAGCUAGUUGGUGAGGUAACGGCCCACCAAGGCGACGAUGACUAGGGGAUCUGAGAGGAUGACCCCCCACACUGGUACUGAGACACGGACCAG
rnacentral:rRNA from 1 species